UGGGGAAUAUUGCGCAAUGGGGGAAACCCUGACGCAGCCAUGCCGCGUGAGUGAAGAAGGUCUUCGGAUCGUAAAGCUCUUUCAACGGUGAAGAUAAUGACGGUAGCAGGUAAAGAAACCCCGGCUAACUCCGUGCCAGCAGCCGCGGUAAUACGGAGGGGGUUAGCGUUGUUCGGAAUUACUGGGCGUAAAGCGCACGUAGGCGGACCAGAAAGUUGGGGGUGAAAUCCCGGGGGCUCAACCCCGGAACUGCCUCCAAAACUAUUGGUCUAGAGUUCGAGAGAGGUGAGUGGAAUUCCAAGUGUAGAGGUGAAAUUCGUAGAUAUUUGGAGGAACACCAGUGGCGAAGGCGGCUCACUGGCUCGAUACUGACGCUGAGGUGCGAAAGUGUGGGGAGCAAAACAGGAUUAGAUACCCUGGUAGUCCACACCGUAAAACGAUGAAUGCCAGUCGUCGGGUAGCAUGCUAUUCGGUGACACACCUAACGGAUUAAGCAUUCCGCCUGGGGAGUACGGUCGCAAGAUUAAAACUCAAAAUGAAUUG
rnacentral:rRNA from 1 species